rnacentral:rRNA from 1 species
GAUCAUGGCUCAGGAUGAACGCUAGCGACAGGCUUAACACAUGCAAGUCGGAGGGGCAUCAUGAGGUAGCAAUACCUUGAUGGCGACCGGCGCACGGGUGAGUAACGCGUAUGCAACCUGCCCGAUACCGGGGUAUAGCCCAUGGAAACGUGGAUUAACACCCCAUAGUACUUUUAUCCUGCAUGGGAUGUGAGUUAAAUGUUCAAGGUAUCGGAUGGGCAUGCGUCCUAUUAGG